rnacentral:rRNA from 1 species
UACGGAGGAUCCGAGCGUUAUCCGGAUUUAUUGGGUUUAAAGGGUGCGUAGGCGGUUUGAUAAGUUAGAGGUGAAAUGUCGGGGCUCAACCCCGAAACUGCCUCUAAUACUGUUGGACUAGAGAAUAGUUGCGGUAGGCGGAAUGUAUGGUGUAGCGGUGAAAUGCUUAGAGAUCAUACAGAACACCGAUUGCGAAGGCAGCUUACCAAACUAUAUCUGACGUUGAGGCACGAAAGCAUGGGUAGCAAACAGG